GGUCUCGCCUGCCUGUGACCAUGAGUUUAACGGCCGCGGUAUUUUGACCGUGCAAAGGUAGCGCAAUCACUUGUCUUUUAAAUGAAGACCUGUAUGAAUGGCAUAACGAGGGCUUAACUGUCUCCCUUUUCCAGUCAAUGAAAUUGAUCUCCCCGUGCAGAAGCGGGGAUUAAAACAUAAGACGAGAAGAACCCUUUGGAGCUUUAGACAAAGAGCAGACCAUGUUAAACACACCUAAAUAAAGGACAAAACCAAUUGGCCCCUGCCCUUAUGUCUUUGGUUGGGGCGACCGCGGGGAAACAAAAAACCCCCAUGUGGACUGAAGACAUUCCUCUUCACAACCAAGAGCCACAGCUCUAAGCAACAGAACAUCUGACCAACAAGAUCCGGCACUAAGCCGAUCAACGGACCGAGUUACCCUAGGGAUAACAGCGCAAUCUCUCUUUUAGAGCCCCCAUCGACAAGGAGGUUUACGACCUCGAUGUUGGAUCAGGACAUCCUAAUGGUGCAGCCGCUAUUAAGGGUUCGUUUGUUCAACGAUUAAAGUCCCUACAGGGAUCUGAGUUUCGAACCGG
rnacentral:rRNA from 1 species